rnacentral:rRNA from 1 species
GAUGAACGCUGGCGGCGUGCCUAAUACAUGCAAGUCGAGCGAACGGACGAGAAGCUUGCUUCUCUGAUGUUAGCGGCGGACGGGUGAGUAACACGUGGAUAACCUACCUAUAAGACUGGGAUAACUUCGGGAAACCGUAGCUAAUACCGGAUAAUAUUUUGAACCGCAUGGUUCAAAAGUGAAAGACGGUCUUGCUGUCACUUAUAGAUGGAUCCGCGCUGCAUUAGCUAGUUGGUAAGGUAACGGCUUACCAAGGCAACGAUACAUAGCCGACCUGAGAGGGUGACCGCCAACCCUGGAACUGACCCCCGGUCCAGCCUCCUCCGGGGGGCCCCGGUAGGGAUUCUCCCGCACGGGGCGAACGCCUAACGGAGCACGCCGGCGUGUGUGAGAAGGGUUUCCGUACCUUAAACCUCUUUUAUUAGGAAAAAACAUAUGUUAAAGUAACUGUCCACAUCUUGACGUUACCUAAUAAGAAAGCCCCGCCUACCUCCGUG